UACGGAGGGAGCUAGCGUUGUCCGGAAUUAUUGGGCGUAAAGCGCGCGCAGGCGGUCCCUUAAGUCUGAUGUGAAAGCCCACGGCUCAACCGUGGAGGGUCAUUGGAAACUGGGGGACUUGAGUGCAGAAGAGGAAAGUGGAAUUCCAUGUGUAGCGGUGAAAUGCGUAGAGAUGUGGAGGAACACCAGUGGCGAAGGCGACUUUCUGGUCUGUAACUGACGCUGAGGCGCGAAAUCGUGGGGAGCAAACAGG
rnacentral:rRNA from 1 species